rnacentral:rRNA from 1 species
UACGUAGGGGGCUAGCGUUGUCCGGAUUUAUUGGGCGUAAAGAGCGUGUAGGCGGCCAGGUAGGUCUGCUGUGAAAACUCGAGGCUCAACCUCGAGACGUCGGCGGAAACCAUCUGGCUAGAGUCCGGAAGAGGAGGGUGGAAUUCCUGGUGUAGCGGUGAAAUGCGUAGAUAUUGGGAGGAACACCAGUGGCGAAGGCGGGUCUCUGGGCAGUAACUGACGCUGAGGAGCGAAAGCGUGGGGAGCGAACAGG